CUGCCAUUUAGGAGUUAAAUCCCUUUGUUUAUGAACCCUAGUCACACCUCCCUGUAUGUGACUUGCACAGCCUUCCAUAAACACUUCCUGUAAAGAGAGCCCUAUUUAGGCUUUCUUUAUUGCAAGUUCUGUUUAAUUAAAAUUUUCUUAUCCCCUGCUAUGUUAAUAGCUUGCUAGACCCUGCAAGAGCCUCCUGUAUGUGAUUAAAGUUCAAUUUAGAGAUUGAGAUACAAUUAUUUAAAGGACCACUAUAGUGCCAGGAAAACAUACUCGUUUUCCUGGCACUAUAGUGCCCUGAGGGUGCCCCCACCCUCAGGGUCCCCCUCCCGCCCGGCUCUGGAAGGGGGAAAUGGGUUAAACUUACCUUUUU